ACACUGGCACUGAAACACGGGCCAGACUCCUACGGGAGGCAGCAGUGGGGAAUCUUGCACAAUGGGGGAAACCCUGAUGCAGCGACGCCGCGUGAGCGAUGAAGCCCUUCGGGGUGUAAAGCUCUUUCGGCAGGGAAGAUUAUGACGGUACCUGCAGAAGCAGCUGCGGCUAACUACGUGCCAGCAGCCGCGGUAAUACGUAGGCAGCGAGCGUUGUUCGGAGUUACUGGGCGUAAAGGGUGUGUAGGCGGUUGUUUAAGUUUGGUGUGAAAUCUCCCGGCUCAACUGGGAGGGUGCGCCGAAUACUGAAUAACUUGGAGUGCGGGAGAGGAAAGUGGAAUUCCUGGUGUAGCGGUGAAAUGCGUAGAUAUCAGGAGGAACACCGGUGGUGUAGACGGCUUUCUGGACCGUAACUGACGCUGAGACACGAAAGCGUGGGUAGCAAACAGGAUUAGAUACCCUGGUAGUCCACGCCCUAAACGAUGCAUAUUUGGUGUGGGCAGUUCAUUCUGUCCGUGCCGGAGCUAACGCGUUAAAUAUGCCGCCUGGGGAGUACAGUCGCAAGGCUGAAACUCAAAGGAAUUGACGGGGGCCCGCACAAGCGGUGGAGCAUGUGGUUCAAUUCGACACCACGCGAAGAACCUUACCAGGGCUCGAACGGCUGGUCAACGCCGGUGGAAACAUCGGUACCCCGCAAGGGGGUCCAGUCGAGGUGCUGCAUGGCUGUCGUCAGCUCGUGUCGUGAGAUGUUGGGUUAAGUCCCGCAACGAGCGCAACCCUUGUCCUGUGUUGCCAUACCGAAAGGUGGAACUCGCAGGAGACCGCCAGGGAUAACCUGGAGGAAGGUGGGGAUGACGUCAAGUCCUCAUGGCCUUUAUGUCCAGGGCUACACACGUGCUACAAUGGACGGUACAAAGCGCAGCGAACUCGCGAGAGGGAGCCAAUCGCAAAAAACCGUUCUCAGUUCGGAUUGCAGGCUGCAACUCGCCUGCAUGAAGCUGGAAUCGCUAGUAAUGGCAGAUCAGCACGCUGCCGUGAAUACGUUCCCGGGCCUUGUACACACCGCCCGUCACAUCACGAAAGUGGAUUGUACUAGAAGUCUGCACGCUGACCCGCAAGGGAGGCAGCGGCCCAAGGUAUGAUUCAUGAUUGGGGUGAAGUCGUAACAAGGUAGCCGUAGGAGAACCUGCGGCUG
rnacentral:rRNA from 1 species